ensembl:lncRNA
UGGGGGCUCCUAUGGCAGUCGGAGCUGUGAGCGAGGACCGAGAUCGGAGCCUCUGAGACGGCUUCCCUCUCCUGUUGGCGCGCUCCGCAGGCGGGGCUUCUGGGGGGGCGGGGCCUAUUUCCUUAACCCCACCGCUCCCGGACCGAAGUCAACAAUAACAGACACUCUGGACCAGGCAGUACACUAAACUGGGGACCUGGAGAUCCCCUCACACCCGGACCCUCCUCUCGAGGCGCUCAAGAUCUGUGAGGGGAGGCGACACAGACAAGGCAGACAGUGUGAAAUAGCGAGAUACGAAAGUACGGAAGAGGAAGGGACUGAGGGACGAGGCCCUGCUUUGCGGAGGUGAUGGCACUGAUCUGGAUCAUGAGGAAUGAAAUAGGAAUUCGCCGAGAGAAACGGAUACCAGGCAGCGAGCGAGAAGAACAAACGCAGAGCUUUGUGGAUAUAAAAACUUCCAGUAGAUUCUGGCCUGAAAGGACUGGAGGCAGAACUGCCCUUGUCCGAAGCAAGGUUUUAGGCUCCAGUUAAUCGCAGAAAAUUUACGACCUUGAGAGUAAAGGAAUGCAGCUGAUUUCAUCGAGCAAACCCCUGGCCCAGAGGGAAAAAAAAGGCUUUCCUGAGACUGCACGAGAGGGGAUGGCUGAGCCGGCCAGCAGUAUCCUGACUCGGGGCUGCACCUAUCACUCCAUGUGGGCGGCUCUGGAAGAGCGGCGGCAUUUCUUGCUGGUACACUCACUUGAGUCCUCAGCUUGCAGGAACUGUGAUAAAACUGUCUCCAGCGAGACCCCAGUCCAGAGCUCUGCAAACAGGCUGCUGUGAAGUAUGAAAGGAGUGAUUCAGUGGAGCCCUGCAGGUCGUAGAGGUGACAGGCCCUGCUUAGUCUGGCUCCUGCCCACAUCUCUGACUUUACCUCUUCUACUGUUGGAUGAAACCUUAUUCACAACACUGAAAUAACUGCUAAGACUUCCCCGGUGGAUCAGUGGUAAAGAAUCUGCCUGCCAAUGCAGAAGACAGGGAUUCUAUCCCUGGUCCGGGAAGAUCCCACAAACUGAGGGGCAGCUCGGCCUGUGCACCAUAACUACAGCCUGUACUCCAGAGCCUGGGAGCCGCAACUACUGAAGCCCUAGAGCUUGUGCUUGGCAACAAGAGAAGCCACUGCAAUUAGAGUAGUCCCCACUCACUGCAAGUAGAGAAAAACCUGCGCAGCAACAAAAACUCAGUAGAGCCAAAAAUAAAUCAAUUUUUCUAAAAAAAGAAAAAUAAAUCACAGGCAAACUCCCACUGUGGAACCUUUGCCCUGGCUGUCCCCUGUUUCUGGUGCUCUUCUUCCUAAACUUUUAUGGGCUGACUCUUGCCUACAAGUCAGAUUUCAGAAGACCCAAUCUGAAUGAAAUAGCUUCUAUCCUAAUCAGUGUCUGGAGAUCAUCCAGUUGUUCCUUUCAGAGCAUUUAUCACUCUCAGAAAGGAUCAUGUUUCUGUGUUGUUUGUUUUGUUGUUUAUGACCUAUCUCUCCUACCAGGCUGGAAGCUUCAGGAAAGCCAGGACCAGUUCAGCCUUGAUCCCAGCUCUGUCUUCAAGCACCUAGAACAGGGCCUGGCGUCAACUGACUAGGUGAUCAGUAAAUAUUUACCCCUGUUGCUCUCAUUAAAAACAUGCAGAAACAAUUCUCAUGACCCAGUGCACAGAAGUUUGGAAUUCAAAAUUGUAAAUAUUUUUAAUUGAAAAAUAACAUGUACAUAGUCAAAAAUUCAAAUAGUAUAAGAGAGAGUCUCUUUGCUUCACAUGUUUCUAUUGGCUAGCAUAGGACAGACUGUUCAGUGGUCUCUUGGUUUGGUGUGUGUAUGUGUGUUCAGCCUGCCAGGCUCCUCUGUCUAUGGGAUUUCCCAGGCAAGAAUGCUGGAGUGGGUUGCCAUUUCCUCCUCCAGGUCUCUUGAUUAUUUUUUACUUAAUACAACUGUUUCUUAAGAGCUCUCGCGAUUCUGAGUGUUGGCUGAGCUCUGGUGAUUCUUGCUUUGAGUCUCUUACAUAGUUGUAGUCACAACCACUGGGGUCAUAUGAAGACUCAGCGGGGCUGGUUGCUGAUAAUGGCUCACUUAUUUAACCAGCAGGAGAUGCUGGCUAUUGACUGGAAGGUGAAUCCUAGCCGAAAACCUAAAAUGAAAGCCCUGCAUGUGGCCCCUCACACAGCUCAGGUUUCUCCAAACACGGUGGCUAGGCUCUGAAAGGAUACAUCCCAAAACAAACAUUCCAGCAGACAGCAAGAAUGCUGCUAGUCUAUUAAGGUUCGAGACUGGACACUAGCACAGCCUUACUUCCUCUGUGUUUUGUUGGCCAGAGCAGUCCUAGUCGAGCCCAGAUUCCGGGACAAAGACCCCAGCUUUCAGAAUAAGCCUUCAGAUCUCAGUGGUUUAAAACAAACAUUUGUCUCCCUCAUAUUCCAGUGCCGGGUAGACCAUGUUGGUGUACUAUUCUCCUUCAGCAGUGACUCAGAUCCAAGCUGCUUCCACCAGCAUCUCCAUCAUCACAAAGUACUUUGAUCCCAACUGUUCAGAUGGGAAAAAGGUUGUGGUGGGGGGAGAAGGGGGUGGACAUUCACACUGAUAAUUAAUUGCCUUAGACCUGAAGUGACACACUCUUUGCCCACAUCCUCACUGGUGAGAUCACAUCUCCUAGGAAGGUUAGGAAACACAGUGUUCCCCUGCUCCCUGGAAGAGAAAAAUGGGCGUGAACACAUCAUUUUAUGGAUGUGUUCCCAGUCUCCUUCUCUAGAAGCAUCACCAUUAACAAUUAACACCAUUAACAAUUUAGUGUGUACCCAUCCUUUCAGAAAUAUUUAUAUAUGUCAAAGUGGAAGUAAAAGUCACUCAGCCAUGUCUGAUUCUUUGUGACCUCAUGGUAUAUACAAGAAUAUAAAAACACAAAUGUAGCAUUUGCACAC